rnacentral:rRNA from 1 species
GCUAACGCCGUGUCAGUGUGCGUGGGAAGACGGAGGGUUCAAGCGGUCUCCUGAUUUAUUGGUGUUAAAGGGUCCGUAGUCGGACUUAUAAUUCAGUGGUGAAAGCCUGUCGCUUAACGAUAGAACUGCCAUUGAUACUGUAAGUCUUGAGUAUAUUUGAGGUAGCUGGAAUAAGUAGUGUAGCGGUGAAAUGCAUAGAUAUUACUUAGAACACCAAUUGCGAAGGCAGGUUACCAAGAUAUAACUGACGCUGAGGGACGAAAGCGUGGGGAGCGAACAGGAUUAGAUACCCGAGUAGUC